GUUAGAAACUGUCGAUGUGAGCAUGCUCUCCUCGGGAAAAGCCAGAAAGCUCCAUGGAGUCUGCGCAAACCACAACAAACGAACUGUGGAGAGCGUGAGCCUUUGUGCCAUCGUGUGGACAGACUAUAUUACUACAAAUGUUACUCAAUAUAAUGCGGAACCCAGAAAAGUGGCACACUCCUGGUGCCCUGUCAACAAGCUGCAGCCUGGCAGGUGAUUCCAUUCCUGCCAUCCCAGAAAAUGGUGGUGAAUGCCCACAGCCCAGGACGAACACUGCCCCCUGGUGGACCGCUACCGCCACCACCACGUUCAGCAGCCCGCUGUGUAUUUCCAAGCUGUCUCCCAUCCAAAUAACAUUCAGCUGCAGCAUUGUUCUGCUUCAUCUGUUGGCAGGGGCAGUGGUGCAGUGGAUAGCACUGUUGCCUCACAGCCAGCGUUGCCAGAUUUGAAAAUGGUGAAUACGCCCAAAAGCCAUUUCCUCCUGCAUAAUAACUUUUAAAAAGUAGCCCAAUUGGGAAAUAUGGCAACACUGCUCCCGCACAUAUUGGGUUCAAAUCCAAGGCGGGGCCUUUCUGUGUGGAGUCUGCAUGAUCUCUAGGCGUCCACGUGGGUUUCCUCCAAGUAAGUACUCU